rnacentral:rRNA from 1 species
CCAAUAGCGUAUAUUAAAGUUGUUGCAGUUAAAAAGCUCGUCGUUGAAUUUCGGGAUUGACGUGAUGGUCGUGCCUUAAGGGGUAUGAACUGUCGCUGUUGAUUUCUCACCUUCUGGAGAAACUUGAUGUCCUUAAUUGGGUGUCUUGCGGAUCCAGGCCCUUUACCUUGAAAAAAUUAGAGUGUUUAAAGCAGGCAUUUUUGCUCGAAUACAUUAGCAUGGAAUAAUAGAAUAGGACGGCAUGGUUCUAUUUUGUUGGUUUCUAGGAUCACCAUAAUGAUUAAUAGGGAUAGUUGGGGGCAUUAGUAUUCAAUUGUCAGAGGUGAAAUUCUUGGAUUUAUUGAAGACUAACUACUGCGAAAGCAUUUGCCAAGGAUGUUUUCAUUAAUCAAGAACGAAAGUUAGGGGAUCGAAGACGAUCAGAUACCGUCGUAGUCUUAACCAUAAACUAUGCCGACUAGGAAUCAGACGAUGUUAAUUUUUUAAUGACUCGUUUGGCACCUUACG